rnacentral:rRNA from 1 species
UACGAAGGGGGCUAGCGUUGCUCGGAAUCACUGGGCGUAAAGGGCGCGUAGGCGGGUCUUUAAGUCAGGGGUGAAAUCCUGGAGCUCAACUCCAGAACUGCCUUUGAUACUGAGGAUCUUGAGUACGGGAGAGGUGAGUGGAACUGCGAGUGUAGAGGUGAAAUUCGUAGAUAUUCGCAAGAACACCAGUGGCGAAGGCGGCUCACUGGCCCGUUACUGACGCUGAGGCGCGAAAGCGUGGGGAGCAAACAGG